rnacentral:pre_miRNA from 1 species
CCCACUGAGCCACCUUCCCAGCCCCAAAGUUACUUUUUUUAAAGCAAUAAUCCUGACCUUCUUUAUCUAUCAAAAUGACAGAUUAAAAAAAAAGAAUUGGGGGCUGGGAAGGUGGCUCAGUGGU